AGUGAACGCUGGCGGUAGGCCUAACACAUGCAAGUCGAACGGCAGCACAGUAAGAGCUUGCUCUUACGGGUGGCGAGUGGCGGACGGGUGAGGAAUACAUCGGAAUCUACUUUUUCGUGGGGGAUAACGUAGGGAAACUUACGCUAAUACAGCAUACGACCUACGGGUGAAAGCAGGGGAUCUUCGGACCUUGCGCGAUUCAAUGAGCCGAUGUCGGAUUAGAAAGUUGGCGGGGUAAAGGCCCACCAAGGCGACGAUCCGUAGCUGGUCUGAGAGGAUGAUCAGCAAAACUGGAACUGAGACACGGUCCAGACUCCUACGGGAGGCAGCAGUGGGGAAUAUUGGACAAUGGGCGCAAGCCUGAUCCAGCCAUACCGCGUGGGUGAAGAAGGCCUUCGGGUUGUAAAGCCCUUUUGUUGGGAAAGAAAAGCAGCAGGUUAAUACCCCGCUGUUCUGACGGUACCCAAAGAAUAAGCACCGGCUAACUUCGUG
rnacentral:rRNA from 1 species